rnacentral:rRNA from 1 species
UACGUAGGGAGCAAGCGUUGUCCGGAAUUAUUGGGCGUAAAGAGCUCGUAGGCGGUCUGUUGCGUCCGCUGUGAAAACUCGGGGCUUAACCCCGAGCCUGCAGUGGAUACGGGCAGACUAGAGGUAGGUAGGGGAGAAUGGAAUUCCCGGUGUAGCGGUGAAAUGCGCAGAUAUCAGGAGGAACACCGGUGGCGAAGGCGGUUCUCUGGGCCUUACCUGACGCUGAGGAGCGAAAGCGUGGGGAGCGAACAGG